AUCAAUGGCCCAUAUUCAUUCUUGUAUCAAUCCUCACACUUUGUUUCUAUUGGUUAGAAAAAGUUGUGGGUGGAUUGAUAAUCUCAACCAUAGAUUAGAUAUUUUGAAGGGUUCAGAUUUAAUAUUUCUGUGUUUAUCUCUCUCUCUCUCUCCCUCUCUCACGCUUCUCACUUUCUUCGUCUCUUUCUUUCUCUCUGUCUCUCUCUCUCUGAAACAAAGAACGAGAUUCAAGACCUUACAAAAAAUCACACCAGAAACGAACUCUAUGCAUAUUCAUGGUCUUAGUUAACACCAACCACAUCUCAGAUAGUCAGGGACGGGGAAGAGGAAGUGGAAUAGAUAAUGGGACGCCUGGUGGUUGUUCUUGUUCUCGAUAGGAAGAAGCAUGAUAUGAAAAAGCUGUGCUAGUGGAGAUGGAGCAGAGCAAGAAGAAAAAUAGUAAGAGGGAGAAGGAGAGAAGACAGAAGAUGACGAUGGGAGGAAGAUGACGGCAGAAGAUGAAGGCAGUGGGGUAGAUUAGGUUUAGUUGGUUGGUUUAUUAGGUUUGGUUUAGAUAGGAUUGGUUUAAUAAACCGGGUUUGUAUGUAAACCAAUGUUAAUAAAUAAAUUGGUAUUAAUUGUAAACCAAUUAUUUGUAUAUUGUUUUAGUUUAAUAAAUAAAAUUUAAUUUUUAAUUA